UCUCCCCCCGUUCACAAACAAAAACGAAGUUAGUUUUGCUUCCCCACGUUCGAAACUCGCCCCCCAAAUUCUCUAGAGCCGCCGUCGGAUGGAAUCCUCCAGACGCGCCCGCCUCCCAUAAACUCGUCCCCCCGUGGUCUCCCGCCCGCCUCUCUUCCCCAAAUCAAUUUCAAAUCGCGCGGCGUCGGAUCGGCGUGAAUCCGCGGCGGCGGCGGCGGCGAUGGAGGUGGGCGACCUGCACAAGGUGUGGGAGAUCCGCGCGCUCAAGAGAAAGCCCGACGAGCCCUCCGCCCGCGCGCUACUCGACCGCAUCGCCAAGCAGGUCCAGCCCAUCAUGCGCCGCCGCAAGUGGCGCGUCAAGGUCCUCUCCGAGUUCUCGCCUAAGAACCCCAGGCUGCUGGGGCUCAACGUCAACGGUGGCGUCGAGGUGAAGCUGCGGCUGCGGCGCGCCGGCCGGGACUACGACUUCAUCCCCUACGAGGAGGUGCUCGACACCAUGCUCCACGAGCUCGCCCACAUCGCCCGCGGGCCCCACGAUGCGCAGUUUUAUAAGCUCUGGGACGAACUCCGCAAGGAAUGUGAAGAACUUGUUUCAAAGGGUAUCACUGGACCAGGACAAGGGUUUGACGGUACAGGCAGGAGAUUAGGUGGAUUUUCAAUACAUCCACCACCACCAUCUCUCCGGCAAGCUACAUUAACUGCAGCACAGAAAAGGGCAAGGAAUGGGGCUCUAUUGCCAUCCGGCCCAAGAAAGUUGGGUGGAAAUAAUGAUAUUAUGAGUGCACUUAGUCCAAUACAAGCUGCUGCUAUGGCUGCUGAGAGGAGAAUGCAAGAUGACUUGUGGUGUGGAUCACAUGAUCAAUCUGGCAUUGAUGAUUCAGAAGAUGUUGUUAUUCUUGAGAAACCACCUAACUGGCCAACAAGGGACAGAAAAGACACAGAGGAUGGAAAAAACGCAAAAGGUGUUUCUUCGAGCGGUUCUGGAGAGUCCAGCACUUCAUCUGGAUUUCAAGUUGGAGCACAAGGUGAUUCCUCUUCGUGUAGGACGACUGAUGCAAGCAUGAGUUCUCUCUGGGAGUGUAGUUCUUGCACUCUUCUAAAUCAGCCUCUGGCACCAAUAUGUGAAGUUUGUGGGACAGCGAAACUUAAACUUGCAAAAGCCAAGUACACAACUUGGUCAUGUAAAUUCUGUACCUUAGAGAACAACACUAAGCUUGAGAAAUGUUCGGCAUGCGAUCAGUGGAGAUACUCAUAUGGACCACCUGUAGCCACAUAUGGUUCAAGCUAUGAUUGACAUUCAGCGAAAGCUACAAUAACACGGAUUACAGGUUUGGGCAAGCACCUGCUGCAAUGUCCAUAGAUUCCCUUACCAGCAGCAGUUGCCUCUGUUACCACUGCAUAUCAAGUUUACCAGGUUGCAGAAAAGAACAUCUGGAACUGGAAAGCGAAGCCAACAGACUCGGUUCAUUGAUACUUGCCGAAGACACAACAAAUAUUCUUCGUCACACGUUCUGGGUUAAUUAGCUCACUGCUGAUUCAGGUUUGUGGAAGACUUGCCUGCUUCGUUGUCACGGGGAGGUAGUCGUCUCCGGACGGCCGGCUUCAUACGUUGACAUCUCGUGCAUUUUCCAUACCCUUUUUCUUGGUUAGGCACCAAUUGAUGAUCAUUCGGGCACGUGCUGCGAAAGCGAGCAUCUUCUGUCGUGCAUGAAUGGCCAGGUGUAUCUGAUUUAUUAUUUUUGAAACGGAAUCUGAUUUAUUAUAACGUUAUGCUGGAUAGGUUCUUAGCAGUACGCGCUUUGUCACAUCCGCUGCAAAAUACUUCUCUUUUCUUUGCAGAGCUACGGCCGGCCACACCAACCUUCGUUAAGCAGAAAAGGGAAGUACUCCCGUAGCAAGUGACGAAAUAUUACAUGCAUCUAGAUGUAUUUUGAUAUAAGUACAUUGAUAUUUGAACAUGAACAAAUUUGAAUCACUUAGAGCAUCUCCAACAGAUGAUGUAAAAUAGGACUUGUGCCCAAAAAACCUAUUUUUAGGGCACGGGCAGCAAAACAAUACCCUCUCCAACA